rnacentral:lncRNA from 1 species
CUCAGCCCGUUUUCUCCUGUUUCCCGGAGGGCUGGACUCAUCUCCUCCUUCCCACCUUUAACAAAUGUUUACUGAGCACCUACUGUGUGCCAGCUUGGGCAAGGACAGAUCCAUCCCCGACUGGGGGAAACAGACAAAUAAAAUAGACCUGCAAAUAAGGGCUAUGAUGAUAGAACUACACCCAGCGGCAGACAUCAGGGAAGGCUUCCUGGAGAAAGUGGCAGCUUGGAAGCAAAGGCCAGGACGGGGAGAGUUAAGUGCUGGGAGGGCAGAGGGCACCGUGAGGGGGCUGGAUUGUGUGAGUGGGAGACACGGGAAGGACCUGCCGCAGAGGGGGAGGGCAGGUUGGUGUGGCACAGGCCAGGGGGACCGCGCAGGGUCUGGAUAGGUGGAGCAGGACCCCGCAGGACCUGGGCACCUACAGAACCCAGCCCAGGCUGUCCCCACUCCUCCUGCGGAGAGGGGACUCACUGGGUGGGACCCACAGAAGCCGGAGGGAUUAAGUUGGGCUAGAAGAAAAGCCCAGCCUGGAUUUCAGACCACCUGGAACGGACUGGCCAGAGGUGGGAAUGGAGAAACGGGAAGCGAGCCUCCAAGGAGGAGGAGGAGGCGUGCUGGCCGGGGCUGGCCCCAACGUGGCCGGGAGUAGAAAGGGCCUGACCCGCUAGCCUAGAAUACCCUUUCUUCCGACUACCUCUUAUGGAAGAGAUCCCUGGCAGACUGCCUCCGGUCCCGGCCUCCCGGCUUAUAACAAUAGGGAGAAUCAUGGUCAUUGCCACCAUCAUAGCAGCUAACGUGUAUGUAGUAUUGUCCUUUGAAGUCAUUCCUAUAAUCCUCACAACAAUCCUUGAGUAUUGGUCAAGUCAGCUGCCCCUGGCCACCCAGCCGGAGCCCUGUGGUCACAAGCACAAGCUGGAAACAAGUUGCCCAGGCUCGGAGUCUCUGAGCCAUCACGGGCGUCUCUGGGCAAAUCUCUCCAUCUCUCCGAGCCUUGGUGCCCUCCUCCCUAAAAUGCACAGAUUAGAUACACUGGAUGCCGUGUUUGUGAAGAGCUCUGCGCGGGGCCGGGCACGCAGGCGUAUCCCUGUGUAG